ACAAGCACAAGGCCAGAGACCAGGGACCUGGCCCACCAGCGCCGAAAAAGGGACCUUAAGGCACCCCUCUCAUUUUGCCAAGGAAAGCAGAAGCCCGGAGAGAUGAGGCAGCCUAUCCAGAGUCACACGACUACUUAGAAACAUAAGAUUCUCCUGCUACCAGUGCCGACCCUGGAAGCAGGGAUUUGAAUCCCAUUCCACAGCUAGAGAAAAGGAAGCUCAGAGGUUGCAUAACCUGCCCUAACAGUUGGUAAAUAGGGGCACCAGGACUCACGCUGUGCCUGUCUGACUCCCCAGCCGUGCUAAUCUCAGCACUAUGCCCUGCCGUCCCCGAGUCCCCUGGACACAGAGGCCGUAGAGGCAUUCUGCCCUCAGAAAGUUCCAAGGGCAGGUAGGAACAGAAAGAGCUCUCUUUAGACCUCUUUAGGAGGUUGACGGAUUUGCCCCUUGGCUUUCUAAGAGCCCUUGCUGAGCCAAAGGCAUCAUCAUCAUCAAGGCAUCAAGGCACAGCCUCACAGGGAGGACCCCCUCAUCUUGGCAAGCCUCAGUUUCCUCAACUCAGCCAAAUAUUUUGGUGAUAUAAAUGGCCGUUGGGCAAGGUAGGGGAAAGGAGGGAGAAGGUGGUGGUUGUUCUACUCAAAGGCACUCACCAUACGAGAUGAGCUCUUCAAGUUUGCCACCCACUCCUGCUUUCCCUCCACCCCUUUACCCAAGUGCCCUCCUGGUACUCCCCCACGGCUCUCCGACACAUAUACAUGUGUACACGCACAACAGAUAUGUAACUGAAUCUCAGGUGAUGUUAAUCUAUUAAGUCUGGGUGGUUGGGGUGCCUGGAGAGAGUUUCUCUGCUGAUUUGGACCCUACAGCCACUAUCCUGCCCCCCGCCCCCAACCCCACCAUGCUUUCCCCUGCUGGCUUUCUCCUUCAUUCUUUCACCUCCUGAGAUGUUUUCACUGGCAAAGGGAGCUUCAACAUCUCAGAUUCUCCAAACUUCUCAGAAUCCUCCCUGAGCCCCCCAAAGCCAGAAGCCAAGCAGUGUCCAUAUAACCA